GAAAUCCCUGGGGUUUUGACUUCCUAACGGCUUGGCUACCAUAAAGGUCCACCAAAGCUAUUGAUGGAACUGAGUGCCAUUCAGGAUGAUGAUGUCAACAGAAAAAGAAGAAUACUCUUGGUAGAUAAGAACAGUUCAGGGAAACCUCCUGGAUAAAGUGGAAUGUGAGAAGACUACGUCUGCAAAAUACUACGUAUCCUCUGACUUCAGUGGUGGAAGAGCAAAUACAGUUGAAGAGAAUCUUCUGAAAACACCACCACUGCCAGCAGAGGAUGAAAUAAAAAUCAAAGUCACCUGAAAGAGAAAUACUCUCUAGGAAUUACCAUGCAUCAUCAAUCAUUAAUAAUAUGAGGCAUAGGUAAAUUUUAACACACAGGGAAGUGACCUUCUUUAAAGAAAUCCAGGGGUUCUGCAUGACUAACUUAAAAAUUUAGUUAAAAAAGAGAAAAGAGUAUCAGGUAUAUUCUUGGACUGUUCCUUUUCCUCAAGCCAU